GACGAACGCUGGCGGCGUGCUUAACACAUGCAAGUCGAACGGAAAGGCCCUGCUUUUGUGGGGUGCUCGAGUGGCGAACGGGUGAGUAACACGUGAGUAACCUGCCCUUGACUUUGGGAUAACUUCAGGAAACUGGGGCUAAUACCGGAUAGGAGCUCCUGCUGCAUGGUGGGGGUUGGAAAGUUUCGGCGGUUGGGGAUGGACUCGCGGCUUAUCAGCUUGUUGGUGGGGUAGUGGCUUACCAAGGCUUUGACGGGUAGCCGGCCUGAGAGGGUGACCGGCCAAAUGGGAACGGGGAUACGGCCCAGACCCCUACGGGGGGCAGCGGGGGGGAAUAUGGCCAAAGGGGCGAAGGCUGGAGGAAGAAACCCCGGGGGCGGAAGAACGCCCUUCGGGUGGAAACCCGCUUUCGCUGGUACCGAGGCGUGGGGAAGGGAAAGGGUAAAGAAGCACCGGCUAACUACGUG
rnacentral:rRNA from 1 species